UUGUAUACGGUCAGCAUUCUCAUUGAAGUGCAUUGCUGUGAGGUACAACAUAAAGGUAAAGUUACUUAUUGUAAGUGUGUAUGUGCUGCAUUUAACACGGUGAUACAGUAGGUAAUGGAUGUCCUUCUAAAAUAAUUUGGAGCUCUAUUCAUAGUUAUAAUCAGGUUUCAUCUUCCAAAAUGGCUUGAGCCCAAAUAGUUACCAUUAUUCCCCUUCCUUCAAACAUUAACAUAUUUAUUGUCUUCGAUCCAUCCAUUAGCCUAGUUAAUUAGCCAAUUAACUAGCAGGUGAAAACAAAGGGAAAACAGAGACAGGAAGUCAACAUAAGCACAUGUACACCCAAGACUAGCCAAGAGUCUUUAGUUGGCGACCUCUAGAGGCCCGGAGGUCCCAAAUCGUGACAGUACCUUUAUAACAUGAUGUAUUUGUGCAUAUGUUUUAGGUCUACCAGGAAUUCAAUAGAGUGAAACCUGAAACAGGAAUUCUGUGUCUCAUUGCACUCAACUUGUUGAAAUCUUCAGGUCAAAGAAAGGCCUCAAGGGCCAAAUCUUGGAUGGUCUUUUGCGACAAAGACAUCGGACAUUACUGACAUCAGAUGCCUUGUGCUGAGAAGACUUCCAGUACGUUUUGAUGAUAACCCAGCUGACUUCAAGGCCUGCUUUGUAAGUUAUAUCACUGGAUUAUAAAUGAUGUUCUCUUACUACACAUCGUACAUUAAAAUAGGCAAUAAUGCAGUCAAGGAUGAGUUAAAUUACAGUAGAUAAGACAUUGUUGGUUCAGUUUAUAACUGAAAGUGUCUAAAAACAUUUUCAAAUACAGUACAUACUAUGUUUUGUAAACGUGCAUCCCGAUUUGAAAACUGUCUAAUCAGGUAAUUUCUCUUUAUAUUCACAAAUCGGUAUCGAAAUAUGUUUGGCUUAAAAACAGAUUUGUACUGUAAUUUACUAUAAGACCUGUAAGCCUUACACUACCAUUUGAAGGUGGCUCAUUUCUUUCAGGUCUUGAACAACACUUUCCAUUUCAUUCAGCAGGUCCUGUUGAGCUUGGGGAAGAAGUAGUUUAAAGGCAAGGUUUUAACUCUGAGAAAUCACCUGGCCAUGUAAGAAGUAAAGGAUGUUCUCGUGUCAAAUAGGCAAAAAGGGGGGACAUUUUGACAAUGACAAUAGCUAAAAUGAUUUUAUUGUUGGUCAGUUGGUCUGUAUAACCUGACACUUAAUGGUGACAUUACACUGAUGUAGUAUUGUUUGUUUUAUUUAUUAACUGCAGCAUAUUGUUCUGAAAUUAUGCUGCUAAUGCUUUCUGUUUCUUUUACAUUUAUAGUUUAAGCUGCUGU
ensembl:lncRNA